GUAGACCCGAAACCGGGUGAUCUACCCAUGUCCAGGGUGAAGGUCGGGUAACACCGACUGGAGGCCCGAACCCACGCAUGUUGAAAAAUGCGGGGAUGAGGUGUGGGUAGGGGUGAAAUGCCAAUCGAACUCGGAAAUAGCUGGUUCUCCCCGAAAUAGCUUUAGGGCUAGCCUCGAGUGAUGAGUUUUGGAGGUAGAGCACUGAUUGGACGAGGGGUCCCCACAGGAUUACCGAAUUCAGUCAAACUCCGAAUGCCAAAAACUUUAACUCGGGAGUCAGACUGCGAGUGCUAAGAUCCGUAGUCAAGAGGGAAACAGCCCAGACCAUCAGCUAAGGUCCCCAAGUAUACGUUAAGUGGAAAAGGAUGUGGAGUUGCUUAGACAACCAGGAUGUUGGCUUAGAAGCAGCCAUCAUUGAAAGAGUGCGUAAUAGCUCACUGGUCGAGUGACUCUGCGCCGAAAAUGUACCGGGGCUAAACGUAUCACCGAAGCUAUGGCAAUCCCAGUAGGGAUUGGGUAGGGGAGCGUUCCAAGGACUGUGAAGCUAGAUCGUGAGGACUAGUGGAGUGCUUGGAAGUGAGAAUGCCGGUAUGAGUAGCGAAAAGAGGGGUGAGAAUCCCCUCCGUCGAAAGCCCAAGGUUUCCUGAGGAAGGCUCGUCCGCUCAGGGUUAGUCGGGACCUAAGCCGAGGCCGAAAGGCGUAGGCGAUGGACAACAGGUUGAUAUUCCUGUACCACCUCGUAUUUGUUUGAACGAUGGGGGGACGCAGAAAGGUAGGGUGAGCGCGCCGCUGGCUGUGCGCGUCGAAGCAUGCAAGGCUGGAACAUAGGCAAAUCCGUGUUCCGUGAAGGCUGAGCUGUGACCGUGAAGGACCCAAGGGUCCGAAAUCCCUGAUCCUCCGCUGCCGAGAAAAGCCUCUAGUUAGAAUACAGGUGCCCGUACCGCAAACCGACACAGGUAGGCGAGAAGAGAAUUCUAAGACGCUCGGGAGAACUCUCGUUAAGGAACUCGGCAAAAUGACCCCGUAACUUCGGGAGAAGGGGUGCUCUAUUAGGGUGUUAAAGCCCGAGAGAGCCGCAGUGAAUAGAUCCAAGCGACUGUUUAGCAAAAACACAGGUCUCUGCGAAGCCGUAAGGCGAAGUAUAGGGGCUGACACCUGCCCGGUGCUGGAAGGUUAAGAGGAGGGGUUAUCCCGUAAGGGAGAAGCUCUGAAUUGAAGCCCCAGUAAACGGCGGCCGUAACUAUAACGGUCCUAAGGUAGCGAAAUUCCUUGUCGGGUAAGUUCCGACCCGCACGAAUGGUGCAACGACUUGGAUACUGUCUCAACGAGAGACCCGGUGAAAUUAUAGUACCUGUGAAGAUGCAGGUUACCCGCGACAGGACGGAAAGACCCCAUGGAGCUUUACUGUAGCUUGAUAGUGAGUGUUGGUACCAUUUGUACAGGAUAGGUAGGAGCCUUGGAAGCCGGAGCGCUAGCUUCGGUGGAGGCGUCGGUGGGAUACUACCCUGAUGGUGCUGACAUUCUAACCUCGACCCGUGAUCCGGGUCAGGGACAUUGUCAGGUGGGCAGUUUGACUGGGGCGGUCGCCUCCUAAACAGUAACGGAGGCGCCCAAAGGUUCCCUCAGAAUGGUUGGAAAUCAUUCGUAGAGUGCAAAGGCAUAAGGGAGCUUGACUGCGAGACCUACAAGUCGAGCAGGGACGAAAGUCGGGCUUAGUGAUCCGGCGGUGCCGUAUGGAAGGGCCGUCGCUCAACGGAUAAAAGCUACCCUGGGGAUAACAGGCUUAUCUCCCCCAAGAGUCCACAUCGACGGGGAGGUUUGGCACCUCGAUGUCGGCUCGUCGCAUCCUGGGGCUGAAGUAGGUCCCAAGGGUUGGGCUGUUCGCCCAUUAAAGCGGCACGCGAGCUGGGUUCAGAACGUCGUGAGACAGUUCGGUCCCUAUCCGUCGCGGGCGUAGGAAAUUUGAGAGGAGCUGUCCUUAGUACGAGAGGACCGGGAUGGACAUACCGCUGGUGUACCAGUUGUUCCGCCAGGAGCAUCGCUGGGUAGCUACGUAUGGACGGGAUAAGUGCUGAAAGCAUCUAAGCAUGAAGCCCCCCUCAAGAUGAGAUUUCCCAUGGCGUAAGCCAGUAAGACCCCUUAGAGAUGAUGAGGUUGAUAGGUCAGAAGUGGAAGUGUGGCGACACAUGGAGCGGACUGAUACUAAUCGGUCGAGGGCUUAUCCUAAAUUU
rnacentral:rRNA from 1 species